GCUCCCUCUGCAGAAUGUACUUCAGGGAGCUCCUGAACCCUCUGCUGACCGACCAACUGUAUGAGAAGUUCUCAGUAAGCACAAGGCGAUGUCUUUCAUUUCCCUCUUCCCUGGGCCUCUUGGCAUGGCCUGUCACCAAAGCGAGUCUGCCUGUGUCAGAGGAAGAGCUGCCUUCAUGGAGGCACAGAUGUGGAAUUCAUCUUGAACCACACAGAUGUCCUCUUCAGCUCCAAAUCCAGCUCAGUCAUCGGAGAUGGAGCAGAAGAACUUCACCCAACGAGAUGAAGAAAUCACCAGCUGGCAGUUGUCAUUCCUGCUUCAGCCUGGGAAAUCCAUCCUCUGUGGCCAAAUGCAAACUGCAGCACAAUUCCAGGAGGCCUCAGAAAUGGAAGUCAUAGUCCUGGCAGGUGAAUCUAACCGGCUCCAACCCAAAAGACCCAGACCCAGUAGCGGUGCUCCCAAGAAGCAUGAAUUGCUGCACUUCUGAUGGCAACCUUCCAUAAGACAAUAGUGAUGGGGAGAAGGAGCUCAUCCACUUGGACAGUCUGCUGCAUAUGAGCCAGCAGUGUGCCCAGGUGGCCAAGGCGGCCAGCAGCAUCCUGGCUUGGAUCCGUAAUGAUGUGGUGAGCACCACUGGAAAAGUCAUCCUGCCCCUGUACUGCGCACUG
ensembl:lncRNA